UACGAAGGGGGCUAGCGUUGUUCGGAUUUACUGGGCGUAAAGCGCACGUAGGCGGAUCGUUAAGUCGGGGGUGAAAUCCUGGAGCUCAACUCCAGAACUGCCUUCGAUACUGGCGAUCUUGAGUCCGGAAGAGGUGAGUGGAACUCCUAGUGUAGAGGUGGAAUUCGUAGAUAUUGGGAAGAACACCAGUGGCGAAGGCGGCUAACUGGUCCAGCACUGACGCUGAGGUGCGAAAGCGUGGGGAGCAAACAGG
rnacentral:rRNA from 1 species